UAGGGUCCCGACUAAGUUCCCACUUGGUUUCCCCUGUUCCAAGCAGUCUUUGUUUCAGUUGAUAUUUCAGAAAAGAACUCGUCGAGGCUUAAAUUCCCAUGCUAUUGGUUCAAGAUAGCAUUAUCAGGUUGUAGAAGGAGAAUACAAUGCAAGCAGGGUGCUAUACUGCUAAUCUGUUAUGCUGCGGCAAGCCCAACCGAUUUUAUGUGCAGAGGUUAAUGGUAAAUGGUAGAAACUGACACUUAUACGGUUUCACUCACUUGUAUAUCAUGCCAUGUGUUUUCUGUAUGUCAUGAAUGAACAAUGGAGUUUGCAAUAUAUGGCCUCAGAAUUGAUCAAUUGUUGUUGACAGUACACAUUAAUUUUAUAAUGCUCCAGAAGAUGCCAUUAGAAAAUUAUUUGCAUGUUGAUUAUAGAUAAUCAAUGUAUCUCUUUCAUGUUGUCUUCAAUAGGUGUAAUAAUAAAACUGUCAGCAUUCUGUUUUGCUCUCAAGAUCAAGGCCGGAUGCCGGAUUGCUUUGGUUGUAUGCUUGGUAAUUAAAUAUAAUAUUACUGCCAUGACUAAAUAUGUGCUUAUGCAAACUUUCAGGAAAUGUUGAAACAUGCUUUAAGGCUAACAUGUGGAAUGCAUGCAGGUAAAUUAAAAGGGAUCAGUUGCAAGAGGUUGCAACAGGAAAAUGAAUUUGCACACAAAAGAUUGAGGAAGAGAAGGCGCCGAACCAUCUAAGGAAGACCAUGUUGCCACAAGCAUGACCCCUCCCAAAGUUCGACAAACCCUUCUAUCCACAAAGGUGAGCAUAAACCCCCAAAUUAUAUCGUUUCCAUUGGUUACCUUCCUGGAGGUUUGUCAUAUCAUAAGCCUACAACUGAUAUUUCGUCGGAGGUCA